AAAGAAGGAAGUAGGAACAAAGAAAAGCAGAGAGAGAGAGAUGAAGAGAGGGAGGAAUUACGUGGUGAAGGAUGAAGUGAACAGCGGUGCUUGGCAUAUAAGCCAGCCCUCAAACAAGGGUAAGUGUUACUAUCCUUAUUAUUAUUAUUAAGGCUACUGUGAACACUAAAUGAUAUAAAUUAUGUAAAUUACCUGAUAAGGUUCCUGGCACUCAGUAAGUGUUAGUUCCCUUCCUUCCUCCCUUCAGGGGAGGACUAGGGAGUAAGUACUUUUUGUAAGUUUGUUCUCCUGGGUUGAAGGGAGGGAAGGAAAAGCUCCAAGGAGGAGAGUGGCUGUACUGUGGGUGGUGUCCUUCUCAGUACUUCCUGGGAGUAUGCGGUGUGACAGCUCCCACCACCUCUCUCUGCCUCCCUUUGUGCCCCUACUCAGGACUCCAUCAGCAAAGGCCUGGAUGGAGCAGAAAGCAAUGAUGAUGGGAAAGCCAGCCCCUCUCUACGGGUUGAGGUUCACUUGGCCCCAUAGUUUGAACACUAUUCUACUUCCCUCUCAGUAUGGUGGAGUAAGGGCCCUGGAGGGCUCUGGGCUAGCACAGGUGCACAUCCUAGCUCGGCGGAGACAGAGUCUCGCUGUGUCGCCCAGGCUGGAGUGCAAUGGCGCGAUCUCAGCUCACUGCAAUCUCCGCCUCCCAGGUUCAAGCAAUUCUCUGCCUCAGCCUCCCGGGUAGCUGGGAUUACAGGCGCCCACCACCACGCGUGGCUAGUUUUUUGUUUUUGUUUUUUGUGUGUGUGUGUAUUUUUAGUAGAGACGAGCUUUCAUCAUGUUGGCCAGGCUGGUCUUGACCUAGAUCCUUUUUUAAAAAAAGAAGAAAGAAAACAUUGCAAACACGAUUAGCAUUCUCCCCAUCCAUUCCCCUUUUACCCUCCCCAUUGGCAACCAUUAUCCUCAAGUUGGUAGUUGGUGAGGGUCCUUCCUAUGGUAUGGUUUCAUACCUUUACUACAUAGUAUAUAUCCAUAAAUAUAAUAUUGAUUUCUGAGAUUUUUUUGGCAUCCAUUAUUUCUGUUUUGUUUUUGUUUUUUGAGACAAGGUCUCACUCUGUCACUCAGGCUGGAGUGCAGUGAUGUGAUCUCAGCUCACUGCAACCUCCACCUCCUGGGUUCAAGCGAUUCUUGUGCCUCACACCACGAAAACAAAAACAAAACAGCCCGUGCAGCAGCCUGGUCCACUGAGCUUGCAGCCCAGACAUUGGUGGUGGGUUUUGAGGUCUAAAAAUAGGGCCUCCUAUGGCAAAAAUUGGUCACCUGGACAGGAACAGCAGUGAGAGCUUAUUGCCUGAAGAGGGGGCAAGAGAGCUCUGGGACGGUGAGUUUCCUCACCUACCCCAUCUCCCUUUCCCCCCUCCCUCCGUGUGUGCGUGCGUGCGUGCGUGCGUGUGUGUGUGUGUGUGUGGUGUGCACCUCACCACCCCACCCCACUCCAGAGCAGACAGACCGCCAGCCCAGCAGAAGCAACUGGGUGUGGCCUGACUCCCAGGGAGUCCUGGGGAAUCCCUGCAACUGAGCAAAUUUCGCUCUUUUAUGGCAUGUGAAUGAUACUUUAAUAGGGCUGUUAUUUUUAAAAUGCAAAUGCUGAUUCAGUAGAUCCCAGCUGGGGCUCAAGAUUCUGCAUUUCUGACAAGCUCCCAGUUGUGGUUCAUGCUGCCGGGCUUGGGACCAGCUCUGAGCAGCGAGCUCUUGCACUGCUGGUUUUCAGAGUCAGCUGCACAUUGGAACCACCUGGGGAGUUUAGAAAAACACUCCUGCCUAGGUCUCACCCCCUGGGAUUCUGAUAACAUUGGUGUAAGGUGAGACCCGGGUGUCCGGAUUUGUAAAAGCUCCCCAGGUGAUUAUAAUUUGCAGCCAAUUUUGAGAACCACCCUCUUGUACCCUGGCCACUUUCCCCUUUCCCCUUACCUGCCUAGGCAGGCUCUCAGGCAUUUGACCCCUGCUCUCCUCUAAACCCCAAAGCUUGGCUUCCAAGGCUGUGCCAGGGCGGCCAGCCCUGCCUGCCUCUCCACCUCCUCCCUGCCCACCCCUCAUCCCACUGUAGUUCUGGGAUUCUGAGGCCAAACCUUCAUUGCCUCCCCCACUUUUUCCCGCCUCCCUAGUUAGCGGAGCUUGUUUUGUUUUCUUGGGCAGCUUUGAGUGAGGACAUGUGUCAGAGGCGUUUGGAAAAUCUAAAGAACUCACGUCCCGGCCGCAUGGAGGCCCACAUGCCUUACGCUCCCCAAGCCGGGGCCGCGUGGGGCGACAUGUGCUGCCGGUCACAGGGGAGGGUGGCCAGAGGCAAGUGAUGCUGAUCAGCAUGGGCUUGGAAGCCGCCUAAGAACCAACCACAGCGACUUUUCCAGUGGGAUGAGGAGGACGGGGAGGAGAAAAAAGUGGGCGGGGGCGGGGGAGGAGAUCUUACACCAAGGCUUACUGGGUAAUUUAUUAUUGCGUGAGAGCGUCUUAGAGCAGCAGCCCUGAUCAACGUCCAGACAUAGCAAGUCAUUCCAAGUGAAAAGAGGUUACAACCACAAAAAGACAGAACAUUUCGUUCUGAGUGGGAGGGAGACAGCUGGGCAA
rnacentral:lncRNA from 1 species